rnacentral:misc_RNA from 1 species
UCCGGUUUGUCACCGGCAGUCUCUCAUGAGUCCCCGGCAUUAUCCGCUGGCAACAUGAGACGGGGGUUGCGCUCGUUGCGGGACUUAACCCAACAUCUCACGACACGAGCUGACGACGGCCAUGCACCACCUGUGAACGCGCCCCGAAGGGAAGCCGUGUUUCCACGGCGGUCGCGCACAUGUCAAGCCCAGGUAAGGUUCUCCGCGUUGCGUCGAAUUAAACCACAUGCUCCGCUGCUUGUGCGGGCCCCCGUCAAUUCCUUUGAGUUUUAGCCUUGCGGCCGUACUCCCCAGGCGGGAUGCUUAACGCGUUAGCUACGUUGCCGCAGGGGUCAAUACCCGCGACGACUAGCAUCCAUCGUUUACGGCGUGGACUAC